AAGAUGGAGUCACAGAACCAGAUCUUCAUAUUUCUGCUGUUCUGUGUAUCUGGUACUUAUGGGAAUAUUGUGAUGACCCAGUCUCCCAAAUCUCUACCUGUAUCAGUAGAAGACAAAGCCAUCAUGAGUUGUAAGUCCAGUCAGAAUGUGGGUACAGCUAUAGCAUGGUAUCAACAGAAACCAGGGCAGGCUCCUAAACUCCUGAUCUACUCAGCAUCCACUCGGUACACUGGGGUACCUGAUCGCUUCUCAGGCAGUGGAUCUGGAACAGAUUUCACUCUUACCAUUAGUAAUGUCCAGGAUGAAGACCUUGCAGAUUAUUACUGUCAGCAGUGGUAUAGCACUCCUCCCACAGUGCUUCAGCCUCCAACAAAAACCUCAUCUGAUAGUCUCACCAGCUGCCUGCACCCCACACAGUCCUGGGUCUGCACACAUCCCCCUCUGCAUGAGAGGUGGUGUGCCUGA